rnacentral:lncRNA from 1 species
AGUGUUUUCUCGAAUGUGAGUAAAGGUUGGGCAUGUUUGCUAGUCUACCAUGCCACGAAGCACAGAGGUUGACACACAGAGACUUUCCAAUUAUCCAGCAGUGGUACUGUUCCUUUACCCUUAUGGGUAAUAAUAUGGUAGCUAGACCUUCAAAAUUUAUGUGUCUAAACUUUGUUAGUGCUGUUUCUUUGCUAUUCUUUUACCUUUCUUGGUCAGAGCGAUGUAGUGGGAGCUGCAAGCUUCACGUGCUCAACUUUGGCAGAGAACUUUGGCAAAGUUAUCUGUGGUACCCAUGAGCUAUUGUUGCGUGUGACAGGUGCUGACAAGGCUAGAAAAGUAGGUGCCUCUUCGAUUUCUGAGAUCGGCCCUCGUGGUCUCUGAGCAGCCCAGCUUUUGAGAAAGCGAGCGCCUCUUCGAUUGAUUCGGAGAACGAUGCCUCAUCGAUUUUUGAGAAAGCAAUCAUGCUGGGGGUCUGGCUCUCGAAGAUUCGGGAAGCAGUGUCUCUUCGAUUUUUGAGAAAGUAAUCAUGUUGGGAGUCUGGCUCUCGAGAUUCGGAGGGCGGUGCCUCUUCGAUUUUGGAGCAAGCAAUCUUGUUGGGAGUGUUUUUCUCGAAUGUGAGUAAAGGUUGGGCAUGUUUGCUAGUCUACCUUGCCACGAAGCACAGAGGUUGACACAGGGACUUUCCAAUUAUCCAGCAAUGGUACUGUUCCUUUACCCUCUCUUCGAUUUUUAAGAAAGUAGUCAUGUUGGGAGUCUGGCUCUCGAGAUUUGGAGGACGGUGCCUCUUCGAUUUUGGAGCAAGCAAUCUUAUUGGGAGUGUUUUCUCGAAUGUGAGUAAAG